UACGAGGGGGGCAAGCGUUGUUCGGAAUUAUUGGGCGUAAAGGGCGCGUAGGCGGUCUGUCGCGUCUGCUGUGAAAACUCGGGGCUUAACCCCGGGCCUGCAGUGGGUACGGGCAGACUAGAGUGCGGUAGGGGAGACUGGAAUUCCUGGUGUAGCGGUGAAAUGCGCAGAUAUCAGGAGGAACACCGGUGGCGAAGGCGGGUCUCUGGGCCGUAACUGACGCUGAGGAGCGAAAGCAUGGGGAGCGAACAGG
rnacentral:rRNA from 1 species